UUGAGAGAACUCGGGUGAAGGAACUAGGCAAAAUGGUGCCGUAACUUCGGGAGAAGGCACGCUGAUAUGUAGGUGAAGCGACUUGCUCGUGGAGCUGAAAUCAGUCGAAGAUACCAGCUGGCUGCAACUGUUUAUUAAAAACACAGCACUGUGCAAACACGAAAGUGGACGUAUACGGUGUGACGCCUGCCCGGUGCCGGAAGGUUAAUUGAUGGGGUUAGCGGUAACGCGAAGCUCUUGAUCGAAGCCCCGGUAAACGGCGGCCGUAACUAUAACGGUCCUAAGGUAGCGAAAUUCCUUGUCGGGUAAGUUCCGACCUGCACGAAUGGCGUAAUGAUGGCCAGGCUGUCUCCACCCGAGACUCAGUGAAAUUGAACUCGCUGUGAAGAUGCAGUGUACCCGCGGCAAGACGGAAAGACCCCGUGAACCUUUACUAUAGCUUGACACUGAACAUUGAGCCUUGAUGUGUAGGAUAGGUGGGAGGCUUUGAAGUGUGGACGCCAGUCUGCAUGGAGCCGACCUUGAAAUACCACCCUUUAAUGUUUGAUGUUCUAACGUUGGCCCGUAAUCCGGGUUGCGGACAGUGUCUGGUGGGUAGUUUGACUGGGGCGGUCUCCUCCUAAAGAGUAACGGAGGAGCACGAAGGUUGGCUAAUCCUGGUCGGACAUCAGGAGGUUAGUGCAAUGGCAUAAGCCAGCUUGACUGCGAGCGUGACGGCGCGAGCAGGUGCGAAAGCAGGUCAUAGUGAUCCGGUGGUUCUGAAUGGAAGGGCCAUCGCUCAACGGAUAAAAGGUACUCCGGGGAUAACAGGCUGAUACCGCCCAAGAGUUCAUAUCGACGGCGGUGUUUGGCACCUCGAUGUCGGCUCAUCACAUCCUGGGGCUGAAGUAGGUCCCAAGGGUAUGGCUGUUCGCCAUUUAAAGUGGUACGCGAGCUGGGUUUAGAACGUCGUGAGACAGUUCGGUCCCUAUCUGCCGUGGGCGCUGGAGAACUGAGGGGGGCUGCUCCUAGUACGAGAGGACCGGAGUGGACGCAUCACUGGUGUUCGGGUUGUCAUGCCAAUGGCACUGCCCGGUAGCUAAAUGCGGAAGAGAUAAGUGCUGAAAGCAUCUAAGCACGAAACUUGCCCCGAGAUGAGUUCUCCCUGAGACUUUAAGUCUCCUGAAGGAACGUUGAAGACGACGACGUUGAUAGGCCGGGUGUGUAAGCGCAGCGAUGCGUUGAGCUAACCGGUACUAAUGAACCGUGAGGCUUAACCUUACAACGCCGAAGGUGUUU
rnacentral:rRNA from 1 species